CCUACGGGUGGCUGCAGUGGGGAAUAUUGGGCAAUGGGCGCAAGCCUGACCCAGCAACGCCGCGUGAAGGAAGAAGGCCCUCGGGUUGUAAACUUCUUUUCUUAGGGACGAAACAAGUGACGGUACCUAAUGAAUAAGCCACGGCUAACUACGUGCCAGCAGCCGCGGUAAUACGUAGGUGGCAAGCGUUAUCCGGCUUUACUGGGUGUAAAGGGCGUGUAGGCGGGAGAGCAAGUCAGAUGUGAAAUCCCAGGGCGCAACCCUGGAACUGCGUUUGAAACUGUUCUUCUUGAGUGAUGGAGAGGCAAGCGGAAUUCCGUGUGUAGCGGUGAAAUGCGUAGAUAUACGGAGGAACACCAGUGGCGAAGGCGGACUGCUGGACAGUAACUGACGCUGAGGCGCGAAAGCGUGGGGAGCAAACAGGAUUAGAUACCCCUGUAGUC
rnacentral:rRNA from 1 species